UACAGAGGGCGCGAGCGUUGUCCGGAAUCACUGGGCGUAAAGAGCUCGUAGGCGGCUUGUCGCGUCGGCUGUGAAAACCCGGGGCUCAACCCCGGGCCCUGCAGUCGAUACGGGCAGGCUAGAGUCCGGAAGAGGAGAGUGGAAUUCCUGGUGUAGCGGUGAAAUGCGCAGAUAUCAGGAGGAACACCCGUGGCGAAAGCGGCUCUCUGGGACGGUACUGACGCUGAGACGCGAAAAGCGUGGGGAGCAAACAGG
rnacentral:rRNA from 1 species